GCCAGCCUGGCGGAAUGGUAGACGCGAUAGACUCAAAAUCUAUUAUCAGUGAUGGUGUGAGGGUUCAAGUCCCUUGGCUGGUACCA
rnacentral:tRNA from 1 species